UACGUAGGGUGCAAGCGUUAAUCGGAAUUACUGGGCGUAAAGCGUGCGCAGGCGGUCCGGAAAGAAAGCUGUGAAAUCCCAGGGCUCAACCUUGGAACUGCAUUUUUAACUACCGGACUAGAGUAUGUCAGAGGGAGGUGGAAUUCCACGUGUAGCAGUGAAAUGCGUAGAUAUGUGGCGGAACACCGAUGGCGAAGGCAGCCUCCUGGGAUAAUACUGACGCUCAUGCACGAAAGCGUGGGGAGCAAACAGG
rnacentral:rRNA from 1 species